rnacentral:rRNA from 1 species
AUGGGCACGGCGGUGCAGGGGCCCAAGCCGGACCCCAUCCGCCGCGCCGUCCUCCGCGCCAUCGAGAUAGGGUACCGCCACUUCGACACGGCGGCGCACUACGAGACCGAGGCCCCCAUCGGCGAGGCCGCCGCCGAGGCCGUGCGCUCCGGCGCCGUCGCCUCCCGGGACGAGCUCUUCAUCACCUCCAAGCUCUGGUGCAGCGACGCCCACCGCGACAGGGUCGUCCCCGCCCUCAGGCAGUCGCUCCGGAAUCUCCAGAUGGAGUACGUGGACCUGUACCUUGUCCACUGGCCGGUGUCCAUGAAGCCCGGGCGGUUCAAGGCCCCCUUCACGGCCGAGGACUUCGUGCCCUUCGACAUGCGGGCCGUGUGGGAGGCCAUGGAGGAGUGCCACAGGCUGGGCCUCGCCAAGGCCAUCGGCGUCGCCAAUUUCUCCUGCAAGAAGCUGGAGACCCUCCUCUCCUUCGCCACCAUCCCUCCCACCGUCAAUCAGGUGGAGGUGAACCCGGUGUGGCAGCAGAGAAAGCUGAGGGAGUUCUGCAGGGGCAAGGGCAUCCAGCUGUGCGCCUACUCGCCGCUGGGGGCCAAGGGCACGCACUGGGGCAGCGACGCCGUGAUGGACGCCGGCGUCCUGCAGGAGAUCGCCGCGUCCAGGGGCAAGAGCGUGGCGCAGGUGUGCCUGAGGUGGGUGUACGAGCAGGGGGACUGCCUCAUCGUCAAGAGCUUCGACGAGGCCCGGAUGAGGGAGAACCUGGAGGUGGACGGCUGGGAGCUCACGGAGGAGGAGCGCCUCCGGAUCGCCGAGAUCCCGCAGCGCAAGAUCAACCUCGGCAAGCGCUACGUGUCCGAGCACGGGCCCUACAAGUCCCUCGAGGAGCUCUGGGACGGCGAGAUAUGA